rnacentral:rRNA from 1 species
UACGGAGGGGGCUAGCGUUGUUCGGAAUGACUGGGCGUAAAGCGCGCGUAGGCGGAUCAUCAAGUCGGGGGUGAAAUCCCGGGGCUCAACCCCGGAACGGCCUUCGAGACUGGUGGUCUUGAGUUCGAGAGAGGUGGGUGGAAUUCCGAGUGUAGAGGUGAAAUUCGUAGAUAUUCGGAAGAACACCAGUGGCGAAGGCGACUCGCUGGACAGACAUUGACGCUGAGGUGCGAAAGCGUGGGGAGCAAACAGG